CAGAGAGAGCAGAGAGUUCAGAGAGAGAGGGAAAUGGCAGUAGCCGUCACCAUCAGCAAUCCUCCUCUCUUGGGAUCGAAUCAUAAGAUAGUAAGUGUGAAGCAAGCGGUGAAUGUUUCCAUCCCAAGCGUGUCUCAAAAUUGGCUUAUGUCUCCCUUCAAAGGAGAUACUCGCCUCAAGUGUUCAGUGGAAGGAGGAAUAAUAAAAGUUCCCGAGCUGUUUUUGCUGCAGUAUCAGGAAUUGAAAAUGUUGAGGCCCCUUCUCAUUUUGAAGACUUUUCAGUUACCAACACAACUAGCAGCAGUGAUAGAGAACUGAAGGUAAGGGCCGAGGUAUCUGGUGCGAAAACUCAAGUGAUUUUCAAUGAUGUGUUUGACAAGCUGGUUGCUGCUGCCCAGCCAAUUCCAGGGUUUCGUAGAGAAAAAGGAGGUAAAAUCACCUACUAGAGAAUGCCUAUUACAGUAGUUCUUGCUGUCUUACUAUCAUGAGAAAGGAACUAUGGAAUAUGAUGUUUUCAACCAUGGAUGCUAUCAUUUUCAAGAAGGAAGCCUCCCGCAGUACGUUGAAAUUGCUUUCGGAACUGAAAGCAAGAAAAAUUCUAAAUGCGGUGUUCUUUUCUAGUGCCAAAUAAUGACUUAUUGAAGCACUGUGUAUGCAAGGAUAUGAUUGCUGCGUAGUGAAAUCCAUUUCUCUGCUCACUCGAUAAAUAUGAUUUUGUUCAUUGUUUUUAUCAUUUUGACCAAUCUAACCAUUCUUCUUUUGUAUCUUCUUCUGAAAUCUUCGGUGACAUUUGCAAAUUGCCAGGGAAAACGCCGAACAUACCCAGGAAAUUUUGCUAGAAAUUCUUGGACCUUCUAAAGUUUACAAGCAAACGAUCAAGAAUGUCAUAAACUCCACUGUUGCUGAGUAUGUUCAGAAGAACGGCUUAAAAGUCGGGAAAGAUUUAACGGUUGAGCAGAGUUUCGAGGGGACCUAGAAGACAGUUUUGAACCAGGCGAAACCUUCAGUUUCAGUGCAGUUGUGCAACUGCUGGAAUGAAACGAGCCAGGCAGGGUCUUGAUUGUGAUGCUCAGCAUUCUUAGGAGAAUCAAGAAAAUUAUACAUGAAGGGCAUCCAUUUAAAAUGAGGAAAGCAUGAAUCGAAUUUUUUUUCAUAUGAGCGGCUGAGUGGCUCGUGAAUUUUUUGCAAUUUUUCAAGUGAGCAGUCAAGUAUGGGGAAAACACCUGAAGAUGUCAUUUGAGUGGUGAUACGGAACAUUGCGGGGAAGUAGAAUUGCAACCUAUUGGAAAGAUAUUGCUUCUCUUCUCAACUCCUAGGCUUGAUAGAUGGGACAGAGACUGUGAUCCAACGGAUUGUAGAUUGAUCAUCAUCAUCAUAAGUACUACCAAAUUUUCAGAGUGUCAA